AGUUCUUUUGAUUUUGGAGAAGUAAAAGUAAGAAAAUUGUUUAUACAUGUUAGUGAAAGCGUAUAAGUGAAUAUAAAUUGAAACAUAUCAAUUCUUAUCAGGUUUAGUGAAAUAAAAUUUCAAUUUUCCUAAGACGAGUAGUUUUAAAACCACGUUUUAACUGUGACAAAGAAAAGUUUAACAGCAGUAAAGAAUACUAUACAAUUAAAGUAAUUUAGAUAUGGGAAUUUUCUUAAAUUUUGUCUAAUUAAGUGCCAGCAGACGCGGUUAUACUUAAAAGGUGAACUUUUACUAUAAAAUAGGUAACAAUAUGUGUAGAAAUAAAAAGAAUGUAUUAUGAAUGUUUUUGAAUUGGUUAAAUAAACAAAAAUUAGAAAACCUAAGAAGAAGUUAUAAUACUUAAUAAUUUGAAACAUGAAAAAAAGGGCAUUAAAUAGGAUUAGAUACCCUAGUAAACCUUUUAGUAAAUCAAGAAUAAUUUCUACCUGAACAGUAUACUUUUAAGAGUGAAAAUCAAAAAUUUUGGCUGUUUAUUUUCUAAUUAGAGGAGUAUGUAAUUUAAUUUGAUAAUCCGCAAAAAACCUUACCUAUUCUUGAAACCCAGGUGCUGCAUGGUCGUCGUCAAUCUAAUUAUAUAAUUUAGAUUCAAUCCAAACUAGGACUAAGUCAGAUAUUAUGGCCCUUAUGAAUAGGGAUAUUAUGUACUACAAUAUUUAAGUUAAUUUAAACUUAAAAAUGAAUUAUUAAUGAAAUUUAAUAUGAAAGAGAAUUUAAUAGUAAUUGAAGAUAUAAUGCUUCAAUGAAUAAGUUCAAAUAUGAGUACAAAUUGCCCGUCGCCUUUAUUGAUAAUUAAUUUUAAAAAUAGAGCAAGUCGUAACAUAGUGGGGGGAAGGGAACUUCUCCCUGAAGAAAUAAAAA
rnacentral:rRNA from 1 species